rnacentral:rRNA from 1 species
AGACGGAGGGGGCUAGCGUUGUUCGGAAUUACUGGGCGUAAAGCGCGCGUAGGCGGUUCGGUUAGUUGGAUGUGAAAGCCCAGGGCUCAACCUUGGAACUGCAUCCAAUACUGCCAGACUAGAGUACGAUAGAGGGGGGUAGAAUUCCACGUGUAGCGGUGAAAUGCGUAGAGAUGUGGAGGAAUACCAGUGGCGAAGGCGGCCCCCUGGAUCGAUACUGACGCUAAGGUGCGAAAGCGUGGGGAGCAAACAGAAUUAGAAACCCCAGUAGUCC